UCUAAGGAGGUCGUUGGAGAGGCUCUCUUUUAUGAAUGAAAAUGAGUUUCCUGGCAGGACCCCAGUCACCUCCAAAUACACGUAGCUGAAUACAGGACUUCACAGAUCUCACACCAGUUCACAGCAGAAGACUGAGGAACGCACCGCGAUUCAUGGUACCUUAAGAGGCUUCUUCUAGAGCUGGCAGAUGGGAAUCUGCGCCCUGCUGCACUCUCCGAACAUCCUACUCUAGGUCCCAAGAAUUAUCUGUACUCUAUUGCAGGGCGAUGCUGCUGCUUCUUAUUUUUUUUUCUUUUUUCUUUUAUCACGCUCCGAAAACCGCAAAGGGAUUUAACCAAAAGGAAGCAAAGGCUUUCUUUUUAUAAAUUCGAUUAGUCAUUUUCACUUUCUCUACCUGGGGACAUUUCCUUUGGGAGGAAUUUCAUACCCAGAGACCCCUUAGUGAGGCACUGUUGCAGGCGGGCGCAGUGAAUUUAAGUGCGAAACGCUCAGUGUGGACGGAAAGUAAAAAAUCACAGGCACUUGCAGCGAAGUCAGUUUCUAAAAGCCGGUGUGGGAGUGGUCUGCAAGAAAGACGAAGUUUGCCGCGGGCAGGCGUAUGGGAUCCUAGGCUGGGGGGGGUGCCGGCUCUUAGCAAGCCCGCCCUCCGAUCGCCACCGCCGAAUUUCCCGCCGGAGUAGGCGCCGGGGCGACUGGUCCCUGCGCUGCACCCGGCGCCGGUCUGGAGAUAGCCCUGGGCGGUGAGCGGCAGGAGACCCCCAAAAUGCGUCUUGUCUACACCGCGACUUAGCCGCUGCGGGAGCAAGAGCGCCGAGGACGCACAGCGUAAACGCGGCCAGAGGGGACACCGGCCCGAGCCUGCUCCCUUAGGCCUCGGGUUCGAAGCCGUGCCAAUGUCCAAGGAGAGUUUAGGAUUUGAGCAGUUCGCAGCGCGGCGCGCGGAGCCUCUCUCCAGCGCCCUGACACCGAGACGCCCGCGUCAGCGAACCACGGAACUUGGGCCCGAGACAAUGGCUCGUAAUUGAUGUCUCGCCAUCAACCAUAAAGACCGAUUCUCCUCUCCCCGCCAUUCCGACCAUCCCUUCUCCCCAUCCCCCUCGCCUCCACCUCCCCUCUCCUCUCCCCGGGCCACCGAGGGAAAGAAAACAAACAAGAAAUUAGCAGGGGACGCCGCGCGCAAAGCAAGACAGCCGCCACCUCGCCGUCGAAGACGCAAAAGAACGAAAAAAGUUAUUAAAGUUUGGAUCUCCCCAAUUAAUUCGUCACUGCUCACCCAUUUUUAAUUAAACGUCGCGAAGCUGCUUUCGCAUGUUCA